AUACGGAGGAUCCGAGCGUUAUCCGGAUUUAUUGGGUUUAAAGGGUGCUCAGGCGGGCCAUUAAGUCGGCGGUGAAAUUUUGCGGCUCAACCGUAAAAGUGCCUUCGAUACUGGUGGUCCUGAGUGUGGAUGAGGUAGGCGGAAUUUGUGGUGUAGCGGUGAAAUGCAUAGAUAUCACGAGGAACUCCGAUUGCUAAGGCAGCUUACUAAGCCAUAACUGACGCUCAAGCACGAAGGCGUGGGGAUCAAACAGGAUUAGAUACCCUGGUAGUCCACGCAGUAAACGAUGAUUACUGGCUGUUUGCGAUAUAUUGUAAGCGGCUGAGCGAAAGCGUUAAGUAAUCCACCUGGGGAGUACGUUCGCAAGAAUGAAACUCAAAUGAAUUGACGGGG
rnacentral:rRNA from 1 species